GGAUAAUCUGCCUUCUGGUGGGGGACAACAGCUGGAAACGGCUGCUAAAACCGCAUGUCAUUAUCGGCACUCCGGUGCUGAUAAAAAAAGACGCUUCGGCGUCGCCAGAAGAUGGGUCCGCCCCCCAUUAGCUAGUUGGUGAGAUCAUAGCUCACCAAGGCUUAGAUGGGUAGCCGAGCUGAGAGGUUGAUCGGCCACACUGGAACUGAGACACGGUCCAGACACCUACGGGUGGCAGCAGUAGGGAAUAUUGCGCAAUGGGCGAAAGCCUGACGCAGCCAUGCCGCGUGAGUGACGAAGGCCUUCGGGUCGUAAAGCUCUUUUCUGAGGGAAGAACAUCCAAGGGAGGUAAUGCCCUUGGCCUGACGGUACCUCAGGAAUAAGGAACGGCUAACUCCGUGCCAGCAGCCGCGGUAAUACGGGGGUUCCUAGCGUUGUUCGGAUUUACUGGGCGUAAAGGGAGCGCAGGCGGAUUGGUCAGUCUAAAGUGGAAUCCCGGGGCUCAACCUCGGAAGUGCUUUGGAUACUACCAGUCUUGAGUUCGUGAGAGGAAAGCGGAAUUCAGGGUGUAGCGGUGAAAUGCUUAGAUAUCCUGAGGAACACCAAUGGCGAAAGCAGCUUUCUGGCACGUCACUGACGCUGAGGCUCGAAAGCGUGGGUAGCGAACGGGAUUAGAUACCCCGGUAGUCCACGCCGUAAACGUUGUGCACUAGGUGCAGGGGGUAUCGACCCCCUCUGUGCCGUAGCUAACGCAUUAAGUGCCCCGCCUGGGGAGUACGGUCGCAAGA
rnacentral:rRNA from 1 species